CACAUGUCUGUGGAACUUGUUCAGUUCAUGUCUCAGUUGUUGAAUCUUGUUAUGUUCAUACAAGUAUUUACACAUGUUAAGUUUGCUGAAAAUAAACGCAGUUGACAGUGAGAGGACGUUUAUUGUUUAGUAUGACAACAUUUUGUGACAUUUUGCGAUGUUUUUGUUCGUUUUGGACUUCGGCAAGGGUUUUUUCGGCUGUUCGGGCAACCCAUAACAAUUUCUGGACGCAAGCCGAAGUCUAAGCCCCUUCAUCGAAGAUUGGUCAACAGGUUUGAAUCAACCCAAGAUGAUAAACCCUAAAGUUGGGGCAAAGUGCAUGACAAGCAGACCCAGAGAAAGCCAGCUGUUUGUUCUUAACCCCUACAUUGUCCCAUUAUUCCAAGAGCUCACUAAGUUUGAAUGAAGACCUUGUGUGAGUGAGAAGAUCUGACAAAUAAGAACUGAUGAGGAUUGUUACUGAGCCCCAUAAGGGACACCUGAUGCUGACUUCUCUCUCCUGGAUGCUCUCCUGCCAAAACUGUCCCGUUGUGUGUUUCAUCCCCUCUGAACCCCCUUACCUUGAAUAGAGUUGCCCCUGAUCAUACAUCUAGGAAUCGCAAAUUUUAACUCCAUCUCCCUCUCUCUUUGUCUCCCUCCCCCACAUCCCAUACACAUAGGCACACAAUAUUUUUACAUUAGUGUUGUCAUGAUGGUCUUAUUUGGUUGCGUAUGUGUUUUUGUUGCUUCUAUUGUCAAUUUUGUUGUUGAUUUGUUGUUAAUGUUGUUACCAACUGUAUUUUAAUAAAUAAAAGUAU